rnacentral:rRNA from 1 species
GACGAACGCUGGCGGCGUGCUUAACACAUGCAAGUCGAACGGAAAGGCCCUGCUUUUGUGGGGUGCUCGAGUGGCGAACGGGUGAGUAACACGUGAGUAACCUGCCCUUGACUUUGGGAUAACUUCAGGAAACUGGGGCUAAUACAGGAUAGGAGCUCCUGCUGCAUGGUGGGGGUUGGAAAGUUUCGGCGGUUGGGGAUGGACUCGCGGCUUAUCAGCUUGUUGGUGGGGUAGUGGCUUACCAAGUCUUUGACGGGUAGCCUGCCUGAGAGGGUGACCGGCCACAUUGUUGCUGAGGUACGGCCCAGACUCCUACGGGAGGCAGCAGUGGGGAAUAGUGCACAGUGGGCGGAAGCCUGAUGCAGCAACGCCGCGUGCGGGAUGACGGCCUUCGGGUUGUAAACCGCUUUCGCCUGUGACGAAGCUUGAGUGACGGUAAUGGGUAAAGAAGCACCGGCUAACUACGUG